rnacentral:rRNA from 1 species
UACGUAGGGAGCAAGCGUUGUUCGGAUUUACUGGGCGUAAAGGGCGCGUAGGCGGCAAUUCAAGUCAUCUGUGAAAUCUCCGGGCUUAACUCGGAACGGUCAGAUGAUACUGCUUUGCUAGAGUGCGGAAGGGCAAUCGGAAUUCUCGGUGUAGCGGUGAAAUGCGUAGAUAUUGCUCGGAAGGCCAGAGCCGAAGGGGCCCUACUGGUACGUAACUGACACUGAGGCACGAAAGCGUGGGGAGCAAACAGG